GGACUACUGGGGUUUCUAAUCCUGUUUGCUCCCCUAGCUUUCGUCUCUCAGCGUCAGUUGUGGUCCAGUGAGCCGCCUUCGCCUCUGGUGUUCCUGCAGAUAUCUACGCAUUUCACCGCUACACCUGCAAUUCCACUCACCUCUCCCACACUCGAGCACGGCAGUUUCGGAAGCAGACUCGGAGUUAAGCCCCGAGAUUUCACUCCCGACUUGCCGCACCGCCUACAGACUCUUUACGCCCAGUAAUUCCGAGCAACGCUGGCCCCCUACGUCUUACCGCGGCUGCUGGCAC
rnacentral:rRNA from 1 species